ACGGGUGAGUAAUGCCUAGGAAUCUGCCUGGUAGUGGGGGAUAACGUUCGGAAACGAACGCUAAUACCGCAUACGUCCUACGGGAGAAAGCAGGGGACCUUCGGGCCUUGCGCUAUCAGAUGAGCCUAGGUCGGAUUAGCUAGUUGGUGAGGUAAUGGCUCACCAAGGCGACGAUCCGUAACUGGUCUGAGAGGAUGAUCAGUCACACUGGAACUGAGACACGGUCCAGACUCCUACGGGAGGCAGCAGUGGGGAAUAUUGGACAAUGGGCGAAAGCCUGAUCCAGCCAUGCCGCGUGUGUGAAGAAGGUCUUCGGAUUGUAAAGCACUUUAAGUUGGGAGGAAGGGCAGUUACCUAAUACGUGAUUGUUUUGACGUUACCGACAGAAUAAGCACCGGCUAACUCUGUGCCAGCAGCCGCGGUAAUACAGAGGGUGCAAGUGUUAAUCGGAAUUACUGGGCGUAAAGCGCGCGUAGGUGGUUUGUUAAGUUGGAUGUGAAAUCCCCGGGCUCAACCUGGGAACUGCAUUCAAAACUGACUGACUAGAGUAUGGUAGAGGGUGGUGGAAUUUCCUGU
rnacentral:rRNA from 1 species